rnacentral:rRNA from 1 species
GGGGAAUUGUUCGCAAUGGGCGCAAGCCUGACGACGCAACGCCGCGUGGCGGAUGAAGAUCUUCGGGUCGUAAACUCCUUUCGAUCGAGACGAACGGCCUCCGGGUGAACAAUCCGGGGGAGUGACGGUACCGCGAGAAGAAGCCCCGGCUGACUCCGUGCAAGCAGCCGCGGUAAUACGGGGGGGGCAAGCGUUGUUCGGAAUUACUGGGCGUAAAGGGCUCGUAGGUGGCCAACUAAGUCAGACGUGAAAUCCCUCGGCUUAACCGGGGAACUGCGUCUGAUACUGGAUGGCUUGAGUUUGGGAGAGGGACGCGGAAUUCCAGGUGUAGCGGUGAAAUGCGUAGAUAUCUGGAGGAACACCGGUGGCGAAGGCGGCGUCCUGGACCAACACUGACACUGAUGAGCGAAAGCCAGGGGAGCAAAC